UCAUAAAAAUACUAAUGAUAAGUAAACACCUAGGAUCUUGACUCUCACAAUUAAGAUAAAUAAAUUUAGCUUUACUUCACUGAUUAUUCUCUACGGAGAGAGAGAGAGAGAGUGAAAGAGAAGUACUGAAAUCAUCAAUCACCAAGCUGUAUGAGAUUUAGUUCUUGUUGUGUUUGAAGCUUUAAUGCUAUAGUGAGAAAAAGUGGGGGAAAAAUGUUGGGUCGGCCUUCAAUUUUGCUAUCUCGGAAUGGGAUUUUCAGGCCAGAAAAUUUGGGUCAAAAUGCAAUGGCAAUGAUAGGGAAUCUUUGUUUCACUAUAUUUGUACUUGGGGUUUUGAUUUUUACUAUAAUUGCUGCAACUUAUCAGCCUGAAGACCCUUUGUUCCACCCUUCAUCAAAAAUCACUAAUUUCCUUACUUCCAAAUCUAAUGCUACAUUCAGAGCUGAUGAUAGUGUUGUGAGGACUGGUGAGGACUUUCUUGGUGCUAAUCAGACAGCAUUUUCGACAUUCAUAAACCUCAAUGAUGUUGAUGUUCCGGAGAAUGCUGACGGUGGAAGUGCCACUGAGAAUAAUUUGGAUUGUCGUGGUAAGAUUGAUGAUCCCAUUGAUUGUACUGAUCCGGAUGUGUUUCAUUUGUUGAUGAGGGCUGCCAUUGAGAAGUUUAAGGACAUACAUUUUUACCGGUUUGGGAAGCCGGUCAGAGGGUCUAAUGAUAGUUCCUGCCAUAUGGCGUGGCGGUUUAGGCCUAAGGAAGGGAAGACUGCUGCCUUUUAUAAGGAUUACCGGUCUUUUGUGGUUUCUAGGUCGGAGAACUGCACCCUUGAUGUGGUUAGUAUGGGUGAUUAUCAUUCUGGUGGAAAUGCUCGCAAGAGGAAGAAAAAGAACAGGGCAGGGUCUGACAGAACUCCUGGUAAGCUAGAUGAGGGAUUUGAGAAGGCAACUCCUAAGACAGAAAGUGAACCUAUUGCUCUGCCAGUGGUUGGGGAAGCUGUAAAUGACUCGCUACCUGUGGUGGAAUCGGAGAGUUCAUUUGGUAAUGGUAAGUAUUUGAUUUAUUCUGGAGGUGGGGAUAGGUGUAAGAGCAUGAGCCAUUACCUUUGGAGCUUCAUGUGUGCGUUGGGCGAGGCUCAAUAUUUGAACAGGACCUUGAUAAUGGACUUGAGUAUUUGUUUAUCCAAGAUUUACACUUCAUCUGGUGUAGAUGAGGAAGGAAAGGAUUUCAGGUUUUACUUUGAUUUUGAGCACUUAAAGGAUUCAGCGUCAGUCCUCGAUCAGGUCCAGUUUUGGUCAGAUUGGAAGCAGUGGCAUAAAAAAGACAGACUAAGUCUUCAUCUUGUGGAGGAUUUUAGGAUUACACCGAUGAAGUUAUCUGGAGUACAGGAUACUUUAAUCAUGAGGAAAUUUGGUUCUGUAGAGCCAGACAAUUACUGGUACAGGGUAUGCGAGGGUGAAACAGAAUCUAUCGUUCAACGACCAUGGCAUCUGGUAUGGAAAUCAAGACGAUUGAUGGACAUUGUCUCAGCUAUUUCAUCAAGGUUGAAUUGGGAUUAUGACUCCGUUCAUGUUGUAAGGGGGGAGAAGGCAAAUAAUCGUGAAAUGUGGCCACAUUUGUCAGAAGAUACUUCUCCCGACGCUCUACUGUCUAGCUUGCAGGACAAGAUCGAUGACGGGAGGAACCUGUAUAUUGCAACCAAUGAACCAGAUACAUCCUUUUUUGACCCUUUAAAAGACAAGUAUUCCACCCAUUUCCUUCAUGAAUAUAAAGAUCUUUGGGAUGAAAAAAGUGAGUGGUAUGCAGAGACAGCAAAACUCAAUAAUGGGAAUCCAGUUGAAUUUGAUGGGUACAUGAGGGCUUCAGUUGAUACGGAAGUUUUCUUCAGGGGUAAAAAGCAGGUUGAGACGUUUAAUGAUCUCACCAGAGACUGCAAGGAUGGGAUAAAUACAUGCACUUCAUCCAGCUAAUUUCUGACUGACGUUUGAAGCUUUACUCUUGCAGUUUUUGGAUAAAUCUAUACCAUACUGUUGUUUUAGAGUCCACUCAAGAAAUGGCUGAACAAUCAAGUGUGAGUGAACAUACAAUUGAGAUUGGACGACCUAAGAAGAAGUUGAUUGUGCCAAGCAGUGUAUUGGGGCUGCCAUCUUCAAUGCCAUCCUCACCUUCAGGCCAGCCAAAGAGCGCAAAGUAUAACUGUUUGUGCUCACCAACCACGCACGCCGGUUCUUUCAGAUGCAGAUACCACAGGAGCUCUAGCCUGACUCGAAAUAGCAUGUCCGUUGGCUCAAAACUCUCUGAGAUGGCUGCUGAAAAAUGACAGAUGCAUGGCAUGGAUACUGGAAAAAUUACUCAAAAGUAAUGUUUCAUCUUUUGGGUCAUUCUUACUGUACUACUCUAGCAUUUCAUCUGUAAUUAAGCAUGUAAUAAGGACUCAAUUUUCUGUCUCUGAUUCAUUGUAAAGUCAUGAAGAAUACUUGGUUGUACAUUAUAUUAUUUAUUGGUUGAUUCUGAGUUCAAUCAUUGCACAUGUUUUGCCUAACCUCCUCCACCCCACCCAAAAAAUGCUG